UGCCCAGCAACUUCCAUCCCUACCUCCUCGUGGUACCGGUCGGAAACUGAGCAACCUUAAGGAAGAUCAGGUAACCAACCCCGGUGGGAACUUUGUUCAUAGGCUGCCAGGGAAGG
rnacentral:ribozyme from 1 species